CCCCUUUGGAGAUGCAAAUGUAAUGCAUUUUGCUAAACAUUUUCCCCCUUCUUUUAUUGUAUUUCAAUCUUUGAGAAGUUUAAAUUUUAAGCUGACUUUUCUUUUUUAUUCUUUACUUGACAUUUCCUGCCCCGGAUUUGUACAGGGAAUGAAGGGUGUGAGCGGUUGGCCUACUAUGGGAUUUCAACUAACCUUGUUACUUAUCUUACAAAUAAACUUCAUCAAGGAAAUGUAUCAGCUGCUAGAAACGUCACUACUUGGCAAGGAACUUGCUAUCUUACACCCCUCAUUGGAGCUAUAUUGGCAGAUGCAUACUGGGGAAGAUAUUGGACAAUUGCUGCUUUUUCAACAAUUUACUUCAUUGUAUGUACCAUAUGAAGUUGAUACGCCAUCCCUCCUUCCCUAGCAUUACUUUAUAUUUGUUUUUGUUAGAUGACAUAUGAUUAAACUUUUAUUCACUUGCAAGCUUAAGCUUUUAGGUCAGUUGAUGAUUUAAUAUGGUAUUAAAGCAGUUGGUCCUGUAUUCAAGCCCCUGCAGUGUUUUUUCCUCACUAUUUAAUAUUCAUUUUCACUUGUUGAGUCUUUUGCAUAUCAAGCUCACAAUUGAGAGGGAAUGUUAGAUGAUAUAUAACUAGAUUUGCCUUCACCUACGAGCUUAAGCUUUUAGUUCAAUUGGUGAUUUAAUAAUUUUUUUUUUUUGCUGAUUAUUGUGAAUAGUGUCAUGAUUUUCUUUGUUAUUGACUUUUAUAAUCCUAUGGAACUUUAGGCUUUUUGAAGGACUGUUUAACACUUCCUUCCCAUACUUUUCCUAGAAAAGAACUUUUGAAUUAUGAUCUUAUUUUCUUGUUUUUUCUGUCUUGCCAAAUCCUGCGUUAAGUUUAAAAUUUAAGAAUAUUGGCAACACAAGAUAGUUGCCUUACACAGUGCAAUAAACAAUAUAUCAAGUAAUACGACUUGUGAAAAGUACUUUAGGGAGGUCAUUUGUAGAUUGAAUGUACUAUAUUUUGCUGCUUAGCAUUUAUUUUACCUGCACAGUAGUCUCAAUAUUAUCUUUUCAGAGUGAAACUCAAGAUGUAUGUUUUUCUUUACAGGGAAUGUGUACAUUAACUCUCUCUGCAUCUGUUCCUGCUCUAAAGCCUGCUGAAUGUGUUGGGUUCAUGUGCCCCCCAGCUUCUGCUGCUCAGUAUAUGGUAUUUUUCCUUGGACUCUAUUUGAUUGCCCUUGGGACAGGUGGAAUUAAACCAUGUGUGUCAUCCUUUGGAGCAGACCAGUUUGAUGAUACCGAUCCUGCUGAGAGGGUUAAAAAGGGCUCGUUUUUCAACUGGUUUUACUUUUCAAUCAAUAUUGGUGCUCUUAUAUCAAGUAGUUUCCUUGUUUGGAUACAAGACAAUGCUGGGUGGGGUCUAGGGUUUGGCAUCCCUGCAGUAUUUAUGGGCCUUGCUAUUGUAAGUUUCUUUUCUGGCACAAAGCUCUACAGAUUUCAGAAACCAGGUGGAAGCCCAAUUACAAGGAUGUGCCAGGUUUUGGUUGCAUCCUUUCAUAAACGAAAUCUAACGGUUCCUAGUGACAGUAAUCUUCUGUAUGAGGUGCAAGACAAAAGUUCUGCCAUUGAAGGAAGUCGCAAGCUAGAGCACAGUGAUGAACUGAGGUAACCUACUUCACUAGCUGAUAUAUAAUCUCAUAGCUGCAUGCCAAAAUAUUUAGUCUUAUGCCUUUAUUAGGCAGACUUAUUAUUAUUUUGGGGAAGUCUAAUUUCCAUGAAAAUUUGAUUUGCCAAUGAUGGAUUAACUGAUGAAGUAAAGUUCUGUUAUUCUUUCAACUUUUUAUGUGCAUGUUUAAGUCCUCCCCUUUUCAGUUACCAAGCAACUUUGAGAUCGUGUUUGUGGGGUUUCUCAAAUGAUAUUUUGGAUUGCAGUAAUCGACAGUAGUUUUCUGAUAGGUCUGCUGCUUGAGUCAAUCUGGUGUGUAGCUAUUUCAUGCAUGAUGCACACGUAAAUCUGUUAGAUGCAUAUUGUGAACCUGUUCUGAUCACGUGUGUAUCUGGUUGAUAAUUAACAACCUUACUGUUGUUGCAUCUUGACUUCCAAAAGAAUACUAGUUAUUACUCUCUGUGCAGACCUUUCUUCCCAAGAAACUACAUUAUUUUGUCUGUUGGAAACCUUGUUCUUGUUCGAUAAUUUUACUUGGCAUAUGAUGCUAAAACUUGAUUAUGAUUGAAUAACGAGAGAAUAUCCCACAAAUUAUUUCCUAGUUGUUCCCAGUUCUUAAAAAAGAGGUUUCAAGUGCAAAAUGUUUGUUUUUAAGCACUUGGAAAGUCAGUUUGACUUUCAAUAGGUUUGCAUGAAAAUGAGUUAUUAUACCCCAAAUAAAUUUAACCCAAACUUUAUUUAUGCUGCAGAUGCCUUGAUAAAGCGGCUGUCAUCUCUGAUGCUGAGUUGAAAAGUGGGGACUUCUCCGAUCCCUGGAGGCUAUGUACAGUAACUCAGAUCGAGGAAUUUAAGAUUCUUAUUCGAAUGUUCCCAAUAUGGGCUACUGGAAUUGUCUUUGCUGCUGUAUACGCCCAAAUGUCAACAUUAUUCGUGGAACAAGGAACAAUGCUGGACAAGACCAUUGGUUCUUUCCGCAUUCCUCCAGCCUCUCUCUCGACCUUUGAUGUAGUAAGUGUUAUUUUCUGGGUGCCUGUGUAUGAUAGAUUCAUAGUCCCAAUUGCAAAAAAAUUUACAGGAAAGGAGAGGGGAUUCACCGAAAUACAGCGAAUGGGUAUUGGCCUAUUCAUAUCAGUAUUAUGCAUGUCCGCUGCAGCUGUGGUAGAGAUCAAACGACUAGAACUCGCAAGAGAGCUCGAUUUGGUGCAUAAACCAGAGGCUGUACCACUAAGUAUACUUUGGCAAAUACCACAAUAUUUCUUGCUGGGUGCAGCAGAAGUAUUCACAUUUAUUGGACAGCUUGAGUUUUUCUAUGAUCAAUCUCCAGAUGCCAUGAGGAGUUUGUGUAGUGCAUUAUCACUAUUGACCACUGCUUUGGGGAAUUACCUCAGUUCAUUCAUUCUAACCAUCGUCACUUACUUAACAACAAGAAAUGGGCAGUCUGGGUGGAUACCAGAUAACUUAAACGAGGGCCAUUUGGAUUUAUUCUUCUGGCUGUUAGCUGGACUUAGCUUCUUGAAUUUGUUGGUUUAUACUGUCUGUGCCAAACGCUACCGCCCAAAGAAGGCUACUCAAGUGUGAAGAAACAAGAUGAUGCUGCACUGUACUGUAACCCACAAAAGGCCAUUUCCAAAGCCAUAUUUGGGUUAUUAUUAUGGCCUACUGUAUAUAAAUUAUAAACUUCCCCCAUGUUUCUUUUCUUUUAUUUUCUUUCCUACUUUUAAUUCAUUUUUAUAUUGCAAUUUGGCAAAAAUUUGAUGGUUAUGUGCUUCAAAAAGUAUGUAUUAGUAACCAUCUUUGGUGAUUCAAUAGUUUAUGAUUGUUUUCAUUGAAGGCUCCGUGUUUGAGAAAUUCUGCAUGGUAGUGUUUCUAAAUGGAAUAGUCUUCCUAUCUGCAUUUUGGGAAAAAUGAACAUUAAGGAAUUCAGAUCAUGUAUUAAAAUUACUUAUAUCUGAUGUAGGGGACCCUAUAGUGAGAUAGUAAUUCUUGCUGGAUACUGUAACAUUAGAACUUACUGCUGAAAUUUUAACUUACAAUAGAGUUAUCUGGUUGCAUUAAGUCGACCAAUUAUCAACCAUCAAGGCUUUGUAGAGUUGGAACUAGUGGAACAAUGUUUGAAAUUAAAAGUUUCUUAAAAAAGUAAGAUGUUCAUUUGGAGAGUCCUAAAAAAAUGUCAUCUCCACUCGUAUGGGUUUAUGCGAAAAAGGAAUCAACGUGACUUCCUUUUGUGCUACUUGUUCUAAAAAAAUUUGAAAGCUCACAUCAUUUUCUCCUCUAAUAGAGCUAAGCCAAUCUAAAAGAAGACAUCAAACUCCCAUUUGAUAAAAAGUAAUUUUAAUGGUGCUUCAUCAAUUGUUGGAGAGCUCUCAAUGAUCAUUUGCCUCUUAAGUUUUCAAGCUUGAUUGCAAUAGGAUGUGGGGCAAUUUGAAACGACUAAAACAAUUCUUUAAUGGGCAAAGAAAUAAGCCCUAUUGAAUCAAAAUGCAAAUGAAUUCGUUCAUACUACAAAGAAGGCUUGAAAUCUUUUGCACAUCAAACGUUGAUCGUUGUAUUCCAUCAUGUAGGAGUAAAUGCUAGCACCCUCCACAAAAAUUUGUGAUUAUGAAUGUUAAAACAGCUUGGCUUUCAACCCCUCCUUCAACUCAAGCAGCUAAUCAUACUACUUAUAAGCUGUUUAACAUUUUCAAUGGAAAGCCAAACGUGAUAAAUGAGAUGAUGAAUCAGUGUGACAAAGCAAACUCUCUUAAAGAAAAUUUCAAUUGCAUAUCAAUUGAGCAUGUGUCUAUAAAGAAGGGAAUAAUGUUACUAAUUUAAUUGCAAAAAAUGGUAGAGACAAAUGUGUAGAAGGUAUUUGGAUUGGAUGGAAAAUUUUCUAUUCUAAAUUACGAAAGCAAUUGUAAAAGUUUUAUCAAAUUUUGUCCUAAAAGCGUAAUAAAUAUUUGUUUUUCUUAAAAAAAGAAAAAAGAUUGUGGUUGCCAAAAGUAUAUAUAUUCAAAUUAUCUACAUUUAAUUAAAUAUUUUAAAAAUAAAUAUUGCUAACUAUUUGAGUUUUACUAGUAGUUUUUUUCUCUUUUAAUUUUAAUGGAUGAAGCAUAGAUUAUGUCUAUUUUCUACAUGAAAAAACAUGUUCAAACAUAGAUAUUCUUCAUUGUAUAUAUUCUUUUUAAUACAAAUUACGAGCGAAAGAAUUUGAACUACAAACUUUUUUAAAGAUCGAAUAUUAUAUCAAAAACACUCAUUUACUACUAAUUGUUUAUAUUAUUUUAUAUUUAUAAUUGCGUGUUUACUAUUUUUAAAAAAAAUUAAAAUAAUAUAUACUAAAAUAUACACUAUUAUAAUUUAAUUAUAACAAAUUGGCUUUGUUUAUAAGCGCACACAUGUUUGUAUGUAUAGGUAAAGCUUUUGUUGAGGAUGUUGUGUUAGUUUUUGAUAAAAUAAAAAUUUAUAAGUUGGUGGAAUGAAAGUGUGGUUAUGUUAUUUAUCUCGCUAUAUACUGCGUGGACAACACCUACAAAUGCUUAAAAUUUGAAUUCAUGUACAAUGCAAGCAAUGGACUUUACACAGGCAAUGGCUCAGUUGACUUCAAUGGGAAUCUUGUUCUCAAGCAAAAUACAGGAAACUGGAAAGCAUGCCCAUUCAUUCUACGUACAUUUUUUUGUGCGUUGGUAUAAUUAGCAUAAAUUACUAACUCAACUUGUACUUAACAAUUCAAACUUCAACUGUUAUGAUCUAUAUAGUCUAUCAUCAUUCUUCCAAUUUUGUGCCCUUCUCCUUUGGGGAUGCAAUAAUGCAUUUUUCUAAACGUGUCUCCCUUCACUUAUCGUAUUUCUAUUCUUAAAAAGUUUAAAUUUUAAACCGUCUAUUCUUUUUUUAAAUUCCUUACUUGACAUUUCAUGCCUCUACAGGCAAUGAAGGCUGUGAGCGAUUGGCCUACUGUGGGAUUUCAGUUAACCUUGUUACUUAUCUUACAAAUAAAC
rnacentral:lncRNA from 1 species